rnacentral:rRNA from 1 species
AGAUUGAACGCUAGCGGGAUGCUUUACACAUGCAAGUCGAACGGCAGCGCGGACUUCGGUCUGGCGGCGAGUGGCGAACGGGUGAGUAAUAUAUCGGAACGUGCCCAGUAGCGGGGGAUAACCACGCGAAAGCGUGGCUAAUACCGCAUACGCCCUACGGGGGAAAGGGGGGGAUCGCAAGACCUCUCACUAUUGGAGCGGCCGAUAUCAGAUUAGCUAGUUGGUGAGGUAAAGGCUCACCAAGGCGACGAUCUGUAGCUGGUUGAGAGGACGACCAGCCACACUGGGACUGAGACACGGCCCAGACUCCUACGGGAGCAGCAGUGGGAAUUUGGACAAGUGGGGGAAACCCUGACUCCAGCCAUCCCGCGUGUGCGAUGAAGGUCCGUUCGGGUUGUAAAGUCUACGUUUUGGCGAGGGAAGAAACGGCGUUAGACUAAGUAUUAC